GAUGAACGCUGGCGGCAGGCUUAACACAUGCAAGUCGAGGGGUAUAUUUCUUCGGAGAUAGAGACCGGCGCACGGGUGCGUAACGCGUAUGCAAUCUACCUUUUUACAGAGGGAUAGCCCAGAGAAAUUUGGAUUAAUACCUCAUAGUAUAUAGACCUGGCAUCAGGAUUAUAUUAAAGUCACAACGGUAAAAGAUGAGC
rnacentral:rRNA from 1 species